UACGUAGGGUGCUAGCGUUGUUCGGAAUCAUUGGGCGUAAAGCGCGUGUAGGCGGUUUGUUAAGUCGAAUGUGAAAUCCCCCGGCUCAACCGAGGAAGUGCAUUCGAAACUAACUAGCUAGAAGAUGGCAGAGGAAGGUGGAAUUCCAAGUGUAGAGGUGAAAUUCGUAGAUAUUUGGAGGAAUACCGGUGGCGAAGGCGGCCUUCUGGACCAUUCUUGACGCUGAGACGCGAAAGCGUGGGUAGCAAACAGG
rnacentral:rRNA from 1 species